rnacentral:rRNA from 1 species
ACGGGUGAGUAAUGUCUGGGAAACUGCCUGAUGGAGGGGGAUAACUACUGGAAACGGUAGCUAAUACCGCAUAACGUCGCAAGACCAAAGAGGGGGACCUUCGGGCCUCUUGCCAUCAGAUGUGCCCAGAUGGGAUUAGCUAGUAGGUGGGGUAAUGGCUCACCUAGGCGACGAUCCCUAGCUGGUCUGAGAGGAUGACCAGCCACACUGGAACUGAGACACGGUCCAGACUCCUACGGGAGGCAGCAGUGGGGAAUAUUGCACAAUGGGCGCAAGCCUGAUGCAGCCAUGCCGCGUGUGUGAAGAAGGCCUUCGGGUUGUAAAGCACUUUCAGCGAGGAGGAAGGUGGUGAGCUUAAUACGCUCAUCAAUUGACGUUACUCGCAGAAGAAGCACCGGCUAACUCCGUGCCAGCAGCCGCGGUAAUACGGAGGGUGCAAGCGUUAAUCGGAAUUACUGGGCGUAAAGCGCACGCAGGCGGUUUGUUAAGUCAGAUGUGAAAUCCCCGGGCUCAACCUGGGAACUGCAUUUGAAACUGGCGAGCUAGAGUCUCGUAGAGGGGGGUAGAAUUCCAGGUGU